AUAAGAAUGUGUAUAAAUGAAUUAGAGCUGAUAAAUAUAAACGAUUGGAAUCAAAUGGUUAUAUAUCAAUUUCGACUCCUGUGAUCUUCCGCCAA
rnacentral:tRNA from 1 species